UACGUAGGGUGCAAGCGUUAAUCGGAAUUACUGGGCGUAAAGCGUGCGCAGGCGGUUAUGUAAGCCAGAUGUGAAAUCCCCGGGCUUAACCUGGGAACUGCGUUUGAAACUACAAGGCUAGAGUGUGUCAGAGGGGGGUGGAAUUCCGCGUGUAGCAGUGAAAUGCGUAGAGAUGUGGAGGAAUACCGAUGGCGAAGGCAGCCCCCUGGGAUAACACUGACC
rnacentral:rRNA from 1 species